UGGGGAAUUUUGGACAAUGGGGGAAACCCUGAUCCAGCCAUCCCGCGUGUGCGAUGAAGGCCUUCGGGUUGUAAAGCACUUUUGGCAGGAAAGAAACGUCGCGGGUUAAUACCCCGCGAAACUGACGGUACCUGCAGAAUAAGCACCGGCUAACUACGUGCCAGCAGCCGCGGUAAUACGUAGGGUGCAAGCGUUAAUCGGAAUUACUGGGCGUAAAGCGUGCGCAGGCGGUUCGGAAAGAAAGAUGUGAAAUCCCAGAGCUUAACUUUGGAACUGCGUUUUUAACUACCGGGCUAGAGUGUGUCAGAGGGAGGUGGAAUUCCGCGUGUAGCAGUGAAAUGCGUAGAUAUGCGGAGGAACACCGAUGGCGAAGGCAGCCUCCUGGGAUAACACUGACGCUCAUGCACGAAAGCGUGGGGAGCAAACAGGAUUAGAUACCCUGGUAGUCCACGCCCUAAACGAUGUCAACUAGCUGUUGGGGCCUUCGGGCCUUGGUAGCGCAGCUAACGCGUGAAGUUGACCGCCUGGGGAGUACGGUCGCAAGAUUAAAACUCAAAUGAAUUG
rnacentral:rRNA from 1 species